GCAGUGGCUUAGUGGUCAACGCACGGUUCUGUGGUCGCCCAAGUCAAGCGGUUGGAUAAGUAACCACUUAACCGGACUCAUGGCUCUUUAGUUCUACGGCCAAUUCCUUCAGCAAAGAAAAAAAAAGUAACAUCUAAUAUGGAGGUACUGAAGUUUCAUCGAGGCAGCAGUCAUCUUUACAUAAAAUGCACGAAUAUCGCUGAGCGUUACGACGUUAUUAUACGAAUCUGAAACUAUACUAGGGGAUUUUGGUGAAAAAUAAAAGCUGGAUGGUUCGCGAGACCAACAGAUGUCCAAGAUGAUGGUGCUGUCUAAGUAUAAAAUCGUGCGACACUUGAGAAGACAAGACAAAGACCGUCUACGACUCUGUGUUAUCUUCAUUACAAAUUGUGAGAGCUCCAGCAAGAAAAAAAAAGGAGGGUGGAAAAUCUGAGAGGGAGAAUCUUGAAAAAAGAUGGUCUCUUAAGAAGUCUGAAGAUAAUGCGAUGAGGAUAAGUGCGGCACGUCGUCUAGGUUGCACUCGGAUCAAGAAAAAGAAGAAGAGUAAAGAAGAAAGAGAAAUAAGAAGGUUACAACAGAAGAGAAACUUACGGUGGAUACUGAGGAGAUGAAAGACGAAGAAAUUAUUUCAAGAGUUUUUUGCAAAUCAGCUGAGAAAUGUAUUUUAAACAAUCGUAAUGGAAGGAGAAAAAUUAACUUGAUAACAAUAAUUUCAAUUGAAAAAAUUGAUCAAACAAAAAGAAGAAAAUAAU